rnacentral:rRNA from 1 species
GAUGAACGCUGGCGGCGUGCCUAACACAUGCAAGUCGAGCGGCAGCGCGAGUAGUUUACUACUUGGCGGCGAGCGGCGAACGGCUGAGUAACGCGUGGGAAUUUGCCCCAAAGUGAGGAAUAACUGCCCGAAAGGGUGGCUAAUGCCGCAUAUGAUCUUCGGAUUAAAGGAUUUAUCCGCUUUGGGAGAAGCCCGCGUCGGAUUAGGUAGUUGGUGAGGUAAUGGCUCACCAAGCCGACGAUCCGUAGCUGGUCUGAGAGGAUGACCAGCCAGACUGGAACUGAGACACGGUCCAGACUCCUACGGGAGGCAGCAGUGAGGAAUCUUCCACAAUGGGCGAAAGCCUGAUGGAGCAACGCCGCGUGCAGGAUGAAGGCCUUCGGGUUGUAAACUGCUUUUAUGAUUGAGGAAUUUGACAGUAGAUCAUGAAUAAGGAUCGGCUAACUACGUGCCAGCAGCCGCGGUCAUACGUAGGAUCCGAGCGUUAUCCGGAGUGACUGGGCGUAAAGAGUUGCGUAGGCGGUUUGUUAAGUGAAUAGUGAAAUCUGGUGGCUCAACCAUACAGGCUAUUAUUCAAACUGGCAAACUCGAGAGUGGUAGAGGUCACUGGAAUUUCUUGUGUAGGAGUGAAAUCCGUAGAUAUAAGAAGGAACACCGAUGGCGUAGGCAGGUGACUGGACCAUUUCUGACGCUAAGGCACGAAAGCGUGGGGAGCGAACCGGAUUAGAUACCCGGGUAGUCCACGCCGUAAACGAUGGAUACUGGCUGUUGGAGGUAUCGACCCCUUCAGUAGCGAAGCUAACGCGUUAAGUAUCCCGCCUGUGGAGUACGGUCGCAAGACUAAAACAUAAAGGAAUUGACGGGGACCCGCACAAGCGGUGGAUCGUGUUCUUUAAUUCGAUGCUAAACGAAGAACCUUACCAGGGCUUGACAUCCAGGGAAUUUUUGGGAAACCAAUUAGUGCCUUUUGGAACCCUGUGACAGGUGAUGCAUGGCCGUCGUCAGCUCGUGUCGUGAGAUGUUUGGUUAAGUCCAUCAACGAGCGCAACCCUUGCAACUAGUUGGAUUUUUCUAGUUGGACUGCUUCGGUAACGGAGA